rnacentral:rRNA from 1 species
CUGCUGCCUUCCGUAGGAGUUUGGGCCGUGUCUCAGUCCCAAUGUGGCCGGUCACCCUCUCAGGUCGGCUACUGAUCGUCGCCUUGGUGGGCCGUUACCUCACCAACAAGCUAAUCAGACGCGGGUCCAUCUCACACCACCGGAGUUUUUCACACCGUAACAUGCGUUACUCGUGCGCUUAUGCGGUUUUAGCAGCAAUUCUCGCUGUUAUCCCCCUGUGUGAGGCAGGUUACCCCACGCGUUACUCACCCGUCCGCCA